GGCCUUAUCCCCAUCGCCGCUGCCGCUCCCACUCCCUUUUCCCCAUCGCCGCCGCCGCUCCCGCUCCCUUCCGCACUGCUCCCGCUCUCGCCCCCUCCCGAUCUCGCUGUCCUCUCCCACCCACCGCCGACCUCGCCGUCCUCCUCACCCACCGCCGCCGACCUCGUCCCUCCCUCCCUCCCCGCAUCUCACGGCCACCACUACGCCCUUGCGCGCGAUGGCGGCGGCGAGGUCGGCGCCCUCAUCGAGAAGCACGCGGCACUGGCUGCGGGGUUUGGCCAGCGACGCCGAUAUCUGCUGCGGCGCGACGCCGACGCGGUCCACCACGACCGCCUGCAGAUUCCGCACGCCUAGCGACGGAUGCACGGCAACCGUGCCCAGGUCCAUGCUCUGCUCCCGCCAGGUUCGUCCAUGCUCUGCUCCCGCCAGGUUCGUCCGCGCACCCGCCUCCCUCCCUCCCCGCAUGUAACCCUAGUAGCUUUUCAGUAGAUCCGGCGCGCGUGCGCCGCCGUCCGUCUGAUUCGCUUUGCCCGGGAUCUCGUUCGGGACGGUGAGAUUGAUUAGUUGGCACCCACCUCGACUCCUUGCUUCUCCUUUUUCCCCCGGCUGCAGCUGUUUGCUGUUGAUGGCAGCACCCGUCCAGAUACUUGGUCAGUUUCAGUUUUGCAAAUCCGGUGUUGUUCAGUUAACUGGCCGUCGGUUGUUAUUGUUGUGCAUGGAGGUGUUGAGAUCCAAAGCACGUAGAGGCGAGGCGGAGCAGGCAGUCGUACAGGAUGUGUGGCCGUACGUUGCUACUUAAGCUGGGCAAUGCGGUGGCAUGCACACCACGGCCAUGGCUGGCACUGUAUCGGCCAAUGCCAAUGCCAUGGUCCGGCCAAGAGUUUCAGCGCUGAGCCUUUUUGCUUGCUAAUAAUAGUAGGCUGAUCCACUUUACUGUAUUAGGACUCUAUACUACUCGUUCCUUAAACGUAUCAGGGUUCCUAAUUCGAGUGCUGCCGUCCCUUUUUGAUCUGGUACUACUGCAUUUGUGCUACAUCUAUAUGUACGAUGAGGCUUAUCUUACAGCUUAGGAGGGGAACCUUUGUAGAUCGCGGGGCACAGGGGAUUGGAGUCGGGCCUGCCAGGGAACAGCUCUAGAUCCUCUUUGUCGUUGAACUUUAGUUUCCUCUUGUCCGAGAUGUGCAUGUCUUUGGCUCAUGUGUGGAUAGUAAUUUAUCAAUGAGCUCGAGACCAUAACAGUGUAGACUGGCGCUAGUUUUGUUUAAUCUAGACAGUGUUGUGUUUAAGACUGUUAGUACAGGGUUUGUGUAGUUGUAGAAUGGAGCUAUUUGAUGUCAGAACAUUUCAUUUACAAGGUCAAAUUUAUACUCUCUAUAUGCUGAUCAGUUUGUUACUUAAUGUUCGUGCAGUAUCGGCGACAACAAGAAGGCCUGGAAGACCGAACACUGCAGGGCACUGAAGAUAAAGCUUACAGAAAGAAAUAAAGAUGGCCAUGUUCUCACAUACUCCUGGAUUUCAUUUACAUCAACUUCUCAAGAGAGGAGUACUCCUUUUUAGUAGUCUCAGUUUAAAGUAAAUUAAAUGAAAGGAGUACUCCUUUUCAGUUGUCUCAGUUUAAAGUAAAUGAAAGGAGUACAAAUGCAUUUACAAAAAUAUGGAUUAAUUUCACAUAUCCUCCUUUGCAAACAUAUGGAUUAAUUUUCAGUAGUCUCAGUUUAAAGUAAAUGAAAGCACACACACAUGUGUGUGUGUGUGGAUUCUACUAUAGCAGUAGUACUCUUGCUAAAUUCAGAGCUCAGUGACAAGAAUCCCUGAAUGUAGGUUGUUAUAGGUUUUGGUUAUACAUGCACAUUUGGGUCUUAAUUCCUGCCUAUUUUCUCUGAAAAAACUGAGACAUGUUUGAGUUGGCAAUGACUGAGAUAAUAUAGUAACCAGUAAAAAAUGUUUUAUGAAGCCAAAUAAAUAAAUAUGCUUUUGUCUGUGAACUAAUAACAAUAUUGCUGGCAUUCUAUGGCAACAUUUGCAGAUCUUGAGGCAUGUGUGUGGCUGGAAGAAACACUCAAGAAAUUUGACCGUAUACUUGUGACAUCACUCUCAGGACUUCAUGAAUGGAGUGUGUACCAACAUCAUCCACAUGCAGAACAGGAAGCUGAAGCUGUGAAUAUAGCUGGCAAUAUUACUAAUGUUGAAGCUGAAGCUUCAGCUUCAGCUUCAGAUUCUCUUGUGCUUCCAACAAUAUUGCUGGCAAUAUUACUAAUGUGUUAAGUUGUCUAAACAUGCUUGCUGCUAGCUUUAAAGUUGAUCUAAAGAACCAUUCAUGCAUUUACACAUUCAUGAUUUCCUCUGCUGUUUGUAAUUAUUCUGGUUAACUUGCUAGUAGAUAUUGCCUGGGAUUUGUAGCUGGUAGAUAUUGUGUCAUGUCCUCUUAGACGAGUUCAUUUAUUGAAAAAUAUUUCACAUGUAGGGUAAAUAUGUCAGUAAAUCUGUAAAAUAUCUUCUUUAUAGUUUUUCCUCGCAUGUUCAGUAUUGUGUCUGGCAUGUUCAUAGAGCCACUUGUGGAGUGAGAUGGGAAUAACAAUUAUACUUCUGUAAUGUUUGAUCGUAUAGAUAUAUGCAAAAGUUGCUGUGCAUUAUCAUUAGUUUUGAUCGCUGCUUUACUAAUAACUGUGAAUGCAAUAGUGUGAUUGUGGUCUUAUUGACUUGCAAGUUUACUAUUUCGAGAACCAUCAUCUUAUUUUCUUUAACAUAGUAGUUUACUAUUGACGUUUACUAUUGAGGAAUAAGAGGAGAUAUGAAGUUUAUAUUGACGUUUCAUGCAGGUCGGGUUACCCAAUGUUGGCAAAUCAACUUUCUUUAACAUAGUAACAAAGGUGGGCUCUCGCGCCGGCGACUCCAGGCUCGCGGUGAAGAAGAGCAAGGCCGAGAAGGACCCCAACAAGCCCAAGCGCCCCUGAGUGCCUUCUUCAUCUUCAUCAGGUGCUCUGCUCUUGCACACGUCAGGCACCGUCUCUGGCGCGGUGGUGCUUCUUGAGGCGACCGACGUGAUGGUGGCUGUGUACGGCGGCGACCACAAGCUGUCCGGUGAGUCGGCUCCAUCUUCUAGCCCUAGAUCCCACUUUUCCGCUCCUAUAGCAUGCUCUGUUGGUUUAGAACACUAGCAGCAGUAGCCUACCAUGUAUGCGUACUAAACAGCAGGAGUUCAAUCACCUUGUGUACACUAGUAGCUUGCUUACACAGUUGUCACUUUUGCUUGUGGUAGCCAUUAUGUGGCUGAAUCAUGUCUGUGUCUACUAAUCAUCAGUUAAUAGUAUUUGGCUUCUACGUGAUGGUCUGAGACUAAUUUAUGGUGAUGUGGAUAUACUUUGUGAUUUAAAGUUACUAAUCUGUGGUCUGGUGUCAUAUUAUGGUCUAAUAUUUUUUGUUUUGACUCUUUCUGUGGUGCGAGGAAAGCUGUGAGUAGACGUCAACGAUGCCUACUUGCUUGGCUGCUACAGUGAUGCAUGCACCGGUCAAGCAAGCACACAUGCAUAUACGUACAUGUUAGGAUAAUAUAUCCGAUAUUCCCUCUGUUCCUGCUAUAUUCCUGUGUGAUGUAAACCUGGAGAUGUGUUAUGUGAUGUGAUAUGAUGGAUGAUUUGAAUUUCACAUGGAGUUUUCCUGAUUUGAAUA